UACGUAGGGCGCAAGCGUUAUCCGGAAUUAUUGGGCGUAAAGAGCUCGUAGGCGGUUUGUCGCGUCUGCCGUGAAAGUCCGGGGCUCAACUCCGGAUCUGCGGUGGGUACGGGCAGACUAGAGUGAUGUAGGGGAGACUGGAAUUCCUGGUGUAGCGGUGAAAUGCGCAGAUAUCAGGAGGAACACCGGUGGCGAAGGCGGUGGUCUGGGCCGGCACUGACGCUGAGGAGCGAAAGCGUGGGGAGCGAACAGG
rnacentral:rRNA from 1 species